rnacentral:rRNA from 1 species
UAGGGAAUCUUCGGCAAUGGACGAAAGUCUGACCGAGCAACGCCGCGUGAGUGAAGAAGGUUUUCGGAUCGUAAAACUCUGUUGUUAGAGAAGAACAAGGACGUUUGUAACUGAACGUCCCCUGACGGUAUCUAACCAGAAAGCCACGGCUAACUACGUGCCAGCAGCCGCGGUAAUACGUAGGUGGCAAGCGUUGUCCGGAUUUAUUGGGCGUAAAGCGAGCGCAGGCGGUUUCUUAAGUCUGAUGUGAAAGCCCCCGGCUCAACCGGGGAGGGUCAUUGGAAACUGGGAGACUUGAGUGCAGAAGAGGAGAGUGGAAUUCCAUGUGUAGCGGUGAAAUGCGUAGAUAUAUGGAGGAACACCAGUGGCGAAGGCGGCUCUCUGGUCUGUAACUGACGCUGAGGCUCGAAAGCGUGGGGAGCAAACAGG